ensembl:lncRNA
UGUUGCAGCCCACAGUGGGUAAGCAUCUUGACCACAACCAUACUGGAACUUCAUGGCAGAGCUUGAAUUAGUACGUAAAUGAUCAUUAAUUGUGAAAUGUCAACUUGACUCAAGUAAGAACCACCUAACAGAUUAGUAAAUCUUUGGGUGUGUCUGUGGAUGACUGACUUGUAGGCUUGGAACUGAGACGGGAUGACCUACUCUGGAUGUGGGUGAUACCUACCCAUAUACUUUUAGUCUGGAUGGAGUAAAAAGGAAAAGAAGAAGGAAGUCUUCCCUUUUCUUUUUGGAAGAAGCUCUGGCCUUUGCCAUUGCCUUUAGACACUUGUCUCCAGGCUUCCAGUGCAGACUCCUCAGCCUUCUAACACAGAUUCUUUGACCUUCCAACAUGGACUUGCACUAAACUCUGCAGUAAGCUCCAGGGCUUUGACCUUUGACUGGAUCCUUUGGCCCUCCAAUGUGCAGAUGGCCAUUUUGAAUUCUUCUAUUCCUGAUUCCUUAGGUGGCCCUUGCAGAACAAAGUUACUCGGGUGAAGAGACUCAGGAGAUUAACACAAAUGGAGGGAUGGGAUCCAAUAAAGCUAUAGGCUUAGCUCUCCUGAAGGCAUGCAGAAACUGGGAGGCAAAGGCCAGCAGAAAGGUGGGCCAAAGUGACACACAGUCAUUUCCUCCCCUCUCCUGUCCCUGCUAUUCUAGGUGGUGUGUGCAGGAACUGAUGAAGUGGCUAUAAUAUCGCUUGUGAUUGUUGGGAAGCCUAAGAUUUAUGAGAGUCCACACUGAAGAGGUGAACCAGGUUGGAUCCAAGCUUGAUACAAAGAAAGUAAAACACAGCAAGUUGCUCACUGUGCCCAAGGAUGUCCUCUCUAUCCCAGGCUGGCUGGGCCACCCCCCCCCCCCAUCUGUAAUGCUUGCUUCUCAGCAAGGGCUUGUCCUGGAGCUAGGGAAGACCCUGAGCAAAUCAGUGCACUAUUUCUGGAUGUCAGUAUUGAAAGUAGAAUCCAGUAACUUGCACAUACUAAGCAAGUACUCUACCACUGAGCUCCCCUCCAGACUCUGAAAGGCCUGCUUCUGCUGAGAAAAUCUUUCAUUCUCAACUCCAGAUGCCAGAGUUAAAGCCUCACAGGUUGACAGAGAUGAUCCCUUGGGUUUCCAGAAUUUGGCAGAACAGCUGACGCACUGAUCCUGUCAAUCUCUACUCUCACAGUGAAUCAUUUACAUCUGAGAAGCCCUUGCCUUGACCUUAUAAAAUCAGUAUGUUUCAAUAAUUCUGAAUCAUCUCAAAAAUGGAAUAAUUAGCUUUUAAAUUAAAAAAUCCAAAUAAACAAGUGGUUAGAGAGCACAUCAAAAGUAUUUAAAUAAUAAGUCCUAGCCAAGAAGAUGUAAUCUAUUAUUGUCUUCCCUUGGAUCAAAGAAUACCUACUACCAGAAUGAAGGACUGUGUCCCAAAAGCAGAUUAAAGUUUUUAUCUUCUGCAGACUGAAAAUUGCUGAUAACUUCUAAAAGACAAGAAACAAAACCACAGCUGUUAAACGUCCUGUUGUUACAUGGUGACCAACAAUGCACAUCUGCACACCACGUACAGUCCUUGCUGGUGUUGCAGUUCAUCUGCCCCUCUUACUGCACCUCCUCUACUCUCUGAGCCUGCUACAGUCCUUCAGUUCACUUAGCAAUCUGUAGGAGUCUUGUCGCAAACACCAAAUACUUAUUAAGAGUGGAGGAACCAUUGCUAUUUAUAUGGUGUGUAGUGGGGGCUUCAAUUAUCAUCCCUCCCCUGUAUCCAUUCUCCCAUUUUGUGAACAAUAACAAAAUCCCCAAUAGUUUUCUGAAUUUCCAUGCCUUCCUUGUAGUUAGAUGUGAACACUGAUGACUUUCUGGCCAAUGGCUUGUGAACAGAUGUGAUGAUGAGUCCACUCACCAAGUUGUGUCUGUGAAACAAAGGGGGGUACCUCUUUGUCCCUUCUCUUUCCAUGGGAAAAGAAGCUUGGAAGGAGGGAGUCCCCUAGGGAAACCAAGCAGCAAAAUCAAGAAAAUCUGGAUUUCUGACUCCUUUACCCAGGGGCAGAAGUUCCCAGAUGUUCGCAUUUCACAGUGCAG